GUUACGGUCGCUUAGUGGUUAGAGCGUCCGCCUUGGAUGCGGAAUGUUAUUGGUUCGAUUCUCGUUUGAGUCAUACCAAAUA